GAUGAACGCUGGCGGCGUGCCUAAUACAUGCAAGUCGAGCGAACAGACGAGGAGCUUGCUCCUCUGACGUUAGCGGCGGACGGGUGAGUAACACGUGGAUAACCUACCUAUAAGACUGGGAUAACUUCGGGAAACCGGAGCUAAUACCGGAUAAUAUAUUUAACCGCAUGGUUCAAUAGUGAAAGACGGUUUUGCUGUCACUUAUAGAUGGAUCCGCGCGGCAUUAGCUAGUUGGUAAGGUAACGGCCUACCAAGGCGACGAUGCGUAGCCGACCUGAGAGGGUGAUCGGCCACACUGGAACUGAGACACGGUCCAGACUCCUACGGGAGGCAGCAGUAGGGAAUCUUCGGCAAUGGGCGAAAGCCUGACGGAGCAACGCGGCGUGAGUGAUGAAGGUCUUCGGAUCGUAAAACUCUGUUAUUAGGGAAGAACAAAUGUGUAAGUAACUGUGCACGUCUUGACGGUACCUAAUCAGAAAGCCACGGCUAACUACGUG
rnacentral:rRNA from 1 species